UACGAAGGGGGCUAGCGUUGUUCGGAAUCACUGGGCGUAAAGGGUGCGCAGGCGGAUUUUUAAGUCAGGGGUGAAAUCCCGAGGCUCAACCUCAGAACUGCCUUUGAUACUGGGGAUCUUGAGUCCGGAAGAGGUGAGUGGAACUGCGAGUGUAGAGGUGAAAUUCUUAGAUAUUCGAUAGAACACCGGUGGCGAAGGCGGCUCACUGGUCCGAAACUGACGCUGAGGCACGAAAGCGUGGGGAUCAAACAGG
rnacentral:rRNA from 1 species